UGGCUCUCCUAGCAUGGGAGAGUGACACUUUAAUCCUGCUCUCAUUUUCCCCCUUCUUCUUUAAGGCUGCUACAGACCACUGCCUAAUCUGUGAAUAGAGAUUAAGAAAUUUCUUUAACAACUUGUCAGUGAGGCUUACAUUGGAUCCAUUAAAAAAUACAGCAUGAUGAAUAUGGAAAUAUGUUUAGAAAAACUGCAUAUGUUUAAUCUACAUCAAAUUGCUUCUUGUCAUGGGAAGGGAGCAGGAGGAGAGAGAGGAAGAGAAAUUUGGAAUGCAAAGUUUUGCCAAGAAUGAGCUGAAGAAGAAAAUGUCAAAUCACUCAAGUAUAUUUGCUAAGAAAACCUCAAAUGGGAACAUAAAGAAUUGAAGAUGACUAAAAUGAUUCAACAACAAAAUUAUGUUGUAUGACUUGCAAGAAUUUAUACAGCAUCAUUAGAAUAUUGCUUUAAAAAGAUGGGCUUUUGUUUCCAGGGGACGCUUAAUGUAAUUAAAAAUAUAACAAAGUCUCCUAAAGACAAUCAAGAUUGUUUUCCUUCCCCUAUUUUAUUAUCCCUUUUUUAUAGUUGAGGAAGUUGAGGCAGAUAGAAUUUAAAUGUUUUGACUGUGUUAUACGUCUAAUAAUUAAGGUCAUAUUUGAACUCAGAUCUUUUUGACUCCAGGCCCAAUGUUCUAUCCACUUCAUUAUUUUGCUUCUUGAAAGGAACAAAGCUUGCUAAGUACAUUAAGAAAAAAGUUUAUUUAGAGACUAAUGUGACAUCAAAAUAAAAGAAAAUAAAAACCCACAA